AUUGAACGCUGGCGGCAGGCCUCACACAUGCAAGUCGAGCGGAGCGGCGGACGGGUGAGUAAUAACUAGGAAUCUGCCUGAUAGAGGGGGAUAACGUUCGGAAACGGACGCUAAUCACGCAUACUAUCAGAUGAGCCUAGGUCGGAUUAGCUAGUUGGUGAGUUAAUGGCUCACCAAGGCUACGAUCCGUAACUGGUCUGAGAGGAUGAACCGUCACAGUGGAACUGGUACACGGUCCAGACUCCUACGGGAGGCAGCAGUGGGGAAUAUUGGACAAUUGGCCAAGGCCUGAUCCAGCCAUGCCGCGUGUGGGAAGAAGGUCUUCGGAUUUUAAAGCACCUUAAGUUGGGAGGCGUUACCGACAUAAUAAGCACCGGCUAACUCUGUGCCAGCAGCCGCGGUAAUAC
rnacentral:rRNA from 1 species